UCCACCAGCUAAUGGGCCUUUUUAUUGUUGCUGAACUAAAACUGCAUAAGUGGUGGAGCGCUCGAAGAAACAUUGGUGUCGUACAAUGUGGUGAAAACCUGCAAAGCGCAUAGAGUUAAAAAAUUUAGGUAAAAAACUGUUAGUGACGACACACUAGCAGUUUUUU
rnacentral:sRNA from 19 species